rnacentral:rRNA from 1 species
AGACCCGAAACCCGGUGAUCUAGCCAUGGGCAGGUUGAAGGUUGGGUAACACUAACUGGAGGACCGAACCGACUAAUGUUGAAAAAUUAGCGGAUGACCUGUGGCUGGGGGUGAAAGGCCAAUCAAACCGGGAGAUAGCUGGUUCUCCCCGAAAGCUAUUUAGGUAGCGCCUCGUGAAUUCAUCUCCGGGGGUAGAGCACUGUUUCGGCUAGGGGGCCAUCCCGGCUUACCAACCCGAUGCAAACUGCGAAUACCGGAGAAUGUUAUCACGGGAGACACACGGCGGGUGCUAACGUCCGUCGUGAAGAGGGAAACAACCCAGACCGCCAGCUAAGGUCCCAAAGUCAUGGUUAAGUGGGAAACGAUGUGGGAAGGCCCAGACAGCCAGGAUGUUGGCUUAGAAGCAGCCAUCAUUUAAAGAAAGCGUAAUAGCUCACUGGUCGAGUCGGCCUGCGCGGAAGAUGUAACGGGGCUAAACCAUGCACCGAAGCUGCGGCAGCGAACGUAUCACCCAAGACAACUUUACGGAGUUGACGAUUGACGGAGCGAAGCGACGUCAAAGCGUUCAUUAAAGUCGAGUUGGCUUAGGGAUACGUUCGUUGGGUAGGGGAGCGUUCUGUAAGCCUGUGAAGGUGUGUCGUGAGGCAUGCUGGAGGUAUCAGAAGUGCGAAUGCUGACAUAAGUAACGAUAAAGCGGGUGAAAAGCCCGCUCGCCGGAAGACCAAGGGUUCCUGUCCAACGUUAAUCGGGGCAGGGUGAGUCGACCCCUAAGGCGAGGCCGAAAGGCGUAGUCGAUGGGAAACGGGUUAAUAUUCCCGUACUUGGUGUUACUGCGAAGGGGGGACGGAGAAGGCUAUGUUGGCCGGGCGACGGUUGUCCCGGUUUAAGCGUGUAGGUGUGUGUUCCAGGUAAAUCCGGUUCACUUUAACACUGAGGCGUGACGACGAGGCACUACGGUGCUGAAGCAACAAAUGCCCUGCUUCCAGGAAAAGCCUCUAAGCAUCAGGUAACACGAAAUCGUACCCCAAACCGACACAGGUGGUCAGGUAGAGAAUACCAAGGCGCUUGAGAGAACUCGGGUGAAGGAACUAGGCAAAAUGGUGCCGUAACUUCGGGAGAAGGCACGCUGACACGUAGGUGAAGUGAUUUACUCAUGGAGCUGAAGUCAGUCGAAGAUACCAGCUGGCUGCAACUGUUUAUUAAAAACACAGCACUGUGCAAACACGAAAGUGGACGUAUACGGUGUGACGCCUGCCCGGUGCCGGAAGGUUAAUUGAUGGGGUCAGCGUAAGCGAAG